AUUGAACGCUGGCGGCAGGCCUAACACAUGCAAGUCGAGCGAGCGGCGGACGGGUGGGUAAAGUAUGGGGGCUGCCCGAUAGAGUGGGGGAACUCCUGGAAACGGUAUCUAAUACCGCAUACUAUACGAUAACCCCCAUGGGAUUAGCUAGUAUGUGAGGUAAUGGCUCACCUAGGGGACGAUCCCUAGCUGGUCUGAGAGGCUGAUCAGCCACACUGGGAUGGAGACACGGCCCAGACUCCUACGGAGGCAGCAGUGGGGAAUAUUGCACAAUGGGCGCAAGCCUGAUGCAGCCAUGCCGCGUGUAUGAAGAAGGCCCUAGGGUUGUAAAGUACUUUCAGGCAGGAGGCGUUACUGACAGAAGAAGCACCGGCUAACUCCGUGCCAGCAGCCGCGGUAAUAC
rnacentral:rRNA from 1 species